GACGAACGCUGGCGGCGUGCUUAACACAUGCAAGUCGAACGGAAAGGCCCUGCUUGCAGGGUACUCGAGUGGCGAACGGGUGAGUAACACGUGGGUGAUCUGCCCUGCACUUCGGGAUAAGCCUGGGCAACUGGGUCUAAUACCGGAUAGGAGCCAUUUUUAGUGUGAUGGUUGGAAAGUUUUUUCGGUGUAGGCUGAGCUCGCGGCCUAUCAGCUUGUUGGGGGGGUAAUGGCCUACCAAGGCGGCGACGGGUAGCCGGCCUGAGAGGGUGGACGGCCACAUUGGGACUGAGAUACGGCCCAGACUCCGACGGGAGGCAGCAGUGGGGAAUAUUGCACAAUGGGCGCAAGCCUGAUGCAGCGACGCCGCGUGGGGGAUGACGGCCUUCGGGUUGUAAACUCCUUUCGCUAGGGACGAAGCUUUUUGUGACGGUACCUAGAGAAGAAGCACCGGCUAACUACGUG
rnacentral:rRNA from 1 species